GUUACAGAUCAGGAAUCUAUGGUGUGUGUGUGUGUAUAUGUGUGUGUGUAUCUAUAUAUAAUACAUAUACUCAACAUGGAUUUCUCUUCUGUAACUUCAUUAUUUGGUAAAUAAUUAUAAUACCUUUUUUGUCGAACCAAUAUUUUCAUAUUUGUUUCCAUGAAAAAAAUGUUCAAUCCAGUGGUAGAACUGCCACCAGUGCAGCUAUGGGUAUUACUGCUAAACAGGGACACGGUCUGGUGCCGAUGCCCUUUAAGAGCUUGACAGAGCCCCUGCAAUUUUGUGAGGAAUUCCCCUCAUGCAGGUCAAAUCCAGGGCCCAGUCAGGUGCUGGGUCCCUUUUGUAGCCUGCCUGAGCCCCUUUUAAUAUGUGUGGAGAGUGCUGGGAGGAAGAAACUAUCUGUUACUGCUUCCGAGCCUACAGACUGUGUGGGCUGGGAGUACAGAGAUGAGGCACUAAGAAGGGAGGAAGGAGCAAACAGAGAGCCUCAGACUGCCAUUAGUGGCAACCAGCCCCAGAAAGUCAUCCCCUGCAAUUAAAAGGUAUAGAAGCAGGGGGAUUGGUUCAUUAUAUGUAAAUUGCAAUUUGUUUGCCAGUGUGUACGUGUAUCUGUGAGUGUCAGUGUGUAUUUCUAUGGUAGGUAUGUGUUUGUCAGUGUGUAUGUGUAGGUAUGUGUAUCUGUGUGUUGCAUUGUGUUUGUGUAGGUAUGUGUAUCUGUUUGUCUAAAUGUGUAUCUAUGAGGGUCAGUGUGAAUCUCUGUGCGUGCCUCUGUGUGUCUCUGUGUGUAUCCCAUUGUUUGUAUGUGUGUAUCAGUGUGUGUGUCAUUGCUUAUGUGUAGGUAUUUGUGUGCAUCUGUGUGAGCCAUUGUGUAUGUGUGACUGUAUCUGUGUGCCAGAGUGUAUGUGUGUGGAUCUGUGAGUAUGUGCAUUUCUGUGUGUGUGUGUGUGUGUGUGUGUGUGUGUGGGUGGGUGGGUGUAGCGGACUGUUUUUUGCUACUCAUCACUUUUUUUAUUGGCUGUCCCUACCCUUAAUUGUUGCAGUAUUUUACACUAUUUCUGCCCCUUUAAAUCCUAUGGGAAAUGAUCUGUACUUUUGAAAUGGUACUUUGGAUGCAGCCGAAGUGCCGAAGUAGUCAAAGUGGCCACCAUUCGACAUACGAACACGUGGUGGCAGCCAUUUUAAUUCAGUCGAAUGCGUUCAGUGGUGUUUGGUCAUUGAGUUCAUGGAACUCAAAACGGACACGCGACGGCGCUAACACCGCUGAACUUUACCUUCUUCAGACUUCAACACUUCAACUGGAGUCUAACUCUGUUCGACAAUUUGAACGGCAGUUUAAUAUUGACGGUUUGCAUGAACGGUUGCUGUUCGUCUAUUUGAACUGAAGUUAAAAUUGGAAAAAGACCGGCCGCAAAGCCUUAUUCUCUGGAACUGUUUUGGGCAUGAAAAUGUGCGUGCGUGCGGUCGGUCUAAUAUGACUUCCACAAAACGUUUGAACCCCUGCUCUGAUCCUUUAUGGGUGUAGGUUAUAGUUUUGGGGUGCAUCCCCCAAGAAUUGGGGAAAAAUGUGUGUUUAAACUGUACAGAUAAUUAAGUUAUCUCUCAUUCUGAGGGGAGGGAAUAUGUGUACUGUAACCAGCUAGUGACUGGAUAAUUCCAAAUUUUCUGUGGGCGUCUCCCUUGCAUGGGAGAAUUGCAUAAAAUCAGAGUGGGUAAUGAUUGUGCAAGUCAUGUUUUUCCUCUCUUUGUCGCUCCUCUGAGUACUCUUCCAUGUUAUGUACAUCCUAAUCUUAGUGUAAAGGCAAAGUUCACACUCUUGUACUCCUUGGAAUGUGUACUUCGGCAUUUGUGAGAUACAUUAUUAUCUGCAACAAACAUACAUAAGCAUUUUGUCUUUAAAAAAAAAAAAAUGUGCAAC
rnacentral:lncRNA from 1 species